ACUUUCAUUAAACAUCAAAAUCACUUUUAAGAUCAACACAAAAGCUAUAUCUAUGGUCCAUUAACAUCAGUUACCAACUAUAUAUAUAAUGUAAUUCCAAUACUUAAUUGGCCACACAAAUUUCUAACCAAUUAAAUCAACUUUGUAUAGAAAGUUAGACACUCUAACCAUAUAUUAACUUAUAGUUAUCCUUUUUCUUGAUCUAACUUGCAUAACAUUAUAAAGGCAUACAUACACAUACACACACAUUUUGAGAGAGAGAUGGGAUAUAUAUGUAUUAACCAUGGUUAGGAGUGGAGGGUUUGGAUCUUUGAAGACCAAGAGAGGCAAGGUUGCAAUUUGCUCUUCUUCCGUCGAUCACCGGAGUAGCGUCCACACAAGCCUUGCUCGCCGCAUCUGCCUCCUUGAAUGUCACCUGAUCACACAACUGUACUAAUUAGUUCCCCCUUUGAGUAGGAGAGUUCUGAUUGAAGAACCUCCAUGGGAGAUGAUCUUAGUGCCUUAUUUUCUCAUUGUAUAUCUGAACAACACGUAUUAUAUAGUUGGUCAAAUUUAAGCUACGGUUGUAGUUGAAUCUGCACUCGUGAUUCACACUUAAUCACUUGCAAGGGCUGACCUAAGACAAGAAGAGGUGUGUCAUAUGCCCACCCUAAUUAGUUAAUUUUCAUUAAUAAUUAGUGUUUAAACUUAUUGAAGUAUCUCUAGGUUAAACAUUAGUUAUAAGAAUGCCCCAUACUAGAAACAAUUAAAGAUCGCAUAGUCGUGUCUAGAUUUCUAGAGGUUUUGGGUAAUUAUCUGUGGCUUUUAGAUUUGAGGAUUUUUCUGGUUAAUUCUUUGUUUCUUUGCUCUUUCUUUUAUUAAUGCAAACAUAUGCUUUUAAUUUAGAUUUACAGUUGUCUCUUCUUCUAUUUUUGCCAACCAGAUAAAACUACAGUUCUUUUUGGAUGCAUUAUUCAUUUUUACAUUAUAUGACUUUAAAACAUAAGAAGAUAUUUUUUCACAAAAUUUAAACUUCGUAUAUAGCAUCCUUUUGAGUGAAUCAGGAGUGAUAAAAGUUGAUUUCUAUGCUGCGUGCAUGUUAAUUCAACUUAUAUAUUUUACCUUUAGUUUUAAGAAAUACUUUUUAAUUUAAGAAAAUGAAGAAACUGAAAAAUCCAACCAUUCAAUCUCAAUAUACUUGUUAGAAAGUAAAACACUAAAUAUUUAAUUAACCAGUCCAAACCAUCUAAUAGAAAUAUGGUAUUUCUUGUACAAUUUAAUUUUGGUAGCCUAGAGCAAAUACCUCUAAUCUACUAAUUUAGAGUCAUAUAUUUUAUUUACUGUUGAAAAUUAUAGUAGGACCAUUUAAUUAAAUAAUUAAUGUGAAAUAUUUGAUUAUUUAUAUUAAAUUUUAAUAAUAAAUAAAUAUAAAUAAUAAAUAAUAUUAAUUAUAAUUUUGAAUUUUAUUUUUAGUUAUAACAAAAUCCUACUAAAAAAAUUAAUACUUUUUUUUAUAAAAUAAUGCAUUAUAAUUUCUUAAUUAGUAAUGUAAUCUUAUUAUAAAUUAAUGAUUACUAGAAUUUUAUCAUAAAACAUAUAAAAUUCUAUGAUAUUUUAUAAAUUUUAUUAUUAUAGUAUAUAUUAUAUUAAAAUAUACGUUCUCUAUAAAUUAAAUAUGAAAAACUUAUAUUAAAUUGCUAGAUUAACAGAUUUAAAAAACAAAAAUUGUUGCAUUUAAGUAAAUAAUCAUUCAUCGUCAAAAUGGGUUAAAAUUCUUACACUAUGUAAUAUUGAAUACAAAAAUUAAAACUAUUAACAUAUGUUAAACUUUUAUAUCUACAACUAUAUAAUAUCAUUUAUUUAUUUUGAAACACCCAAUAAUAUAUUUUAUAAAAAUAAUUAUAUUCAAAAUAUAAUAAGUAUAUAACUAACCUUUUAGUUCAUGUAUUAUUAUACAAUUAUGUUCCUAGAAAAAAAUUAAUUUUUAAUAGUUAGUUAAAAAUAAUAAUGACAAAUCAAUUUUACUUAUAAAUUUAAUGUUUAUUUUAAAUAUAACAAAAUCUGUUGAGAAAAUAUAAAAAACCUUACCAAAAAUUCAAAUAUAUUUUUACAAAAUAUUGAACUAAUUUAGUGACAAAAACAUAAUUUUCCUAACUAAAAAUGAUAAUUGUGUAAUUUUUCAAAUUUAUUUAACCAAGUAUACAAUUUUUAAAAUAAAUAUUAAGAACUCAAAAUGGUAAUAUUCCAAAUGCUAAAAUUUGUUUUUUGAAAUGUAACAUAAAAAAAUAAAUUAUGUUUGUAAAGAGAACUCAUAAAGAGAAAUCAAGAGAAGCCAAAAUAUGAAGUACAGAGAAAAAGAGACUGGCAUUUAGGUCGAUGGGAAAAUAUCUAUAAAGAGAACUCUUCCAUUUAUGAGUCUGUAAAGUUGACGACAAAAAAAAAAAAAAAAAAAAAAAAAGAGAACUCAUAAAGAAAUGGAAGAAUCACUCGGGCAAGCAAUAGCAUGCAACAUAUAUUUUACAUGACAAGAUUUUUUGGUGAAAUAAUAUCAGCAUUAAUAAUCUUUUGGUCAAAGCACAGGAUAAAUAUAUUUUCACCUUCUUCAUACGUUUAAAUUGAAUAAAUCCCAAAAAGACAUUUUCUAA